UCUUCGGUAGUAUAGUGGUAAGUAACCCCGCCUAUCACGCGGGAGACCGGGGUUCAAUUCGCCGCCGGGGAG
rfam:Daphnia pulex DAPPTscaffold_7929_Cont17388, whole genome shotgun sequence.